ACAUAGCGUAAAUCCUGUAAAACUGUGUGUUUUGAGGCUAGCCUCGUAUUGGAACUGGAACUACCGACGACUUGAAAUUCCUCCCCGUUACCGGGUUGGGUUAGAACAAAAGCUAUCUACUUUCGCCAGGUUCGAUCUCUCUCUCUCUAUAUAUAUCUAUAUAUAUCUUUAUGUAUACGUGUGUGUAUGUAUAUAUAUAUAUCAAAGUCAUUGAUAUUGCGAUCUUAUUUUGUGAUGGAAGCAACAGAUCUUUGCGGUUGAUUGUUGUGCUAGUUAAUCGUAAGAAACUACGUUUUUAUGGGUAGCUCGUUUUUGUGUUUGUGUAAUUGCUGAUUAUUCAAAAAUUGAACAAUCAUAAGUAGUCUAAAUUCAAUUGUAGUUGAAACUAAUCUGAACUUAGAGGUGUAGGACGGUAGUAUAAGCCCUGUUGGAGCUUAAUAUGGCAACAUAUAUGUUUUUUCCUAUUCUUUUCUUUAAGCAUUUAAUUAAUUCUUGUUAUGUUGGUUUUGUUUUCGGUUUUCAAUUCUAUAGUUGUAUUAUAUGUCUUGGGGGAUUAUAAUUAAGAUUGCAGUUUUUUUUCUUCCUGUUCUUUAUUAAUUUUUCUUUUAAUCAUAUAAUUAAGAUUUUGGGUACUUGAACUUACUUGUGACCUAAAUUAUAAGUUAUGCAUCUUGUUUGAUUACAUGAAUGUUUAAAAAUUGCAAAAUGUAAACUAUGAUUGAACUGAUUGAAGUUGAUUGCUUUCUUUCUAUUAAGUAUCAAGGCUGAUCCUUGUCACUUACAUUGUCAUUGUCGACCGUAGUCCUUGUCUGAUACAUUGGCAUUGUCAACUCAGCGUCUAGUUCGUUUGGUUGCAUUUACUUUUUACUCAUGUUUUUGGAUGAAAGUUGAAUCAUGCUGCAUCCUUUUAGAAAUUUAAAUUGAGAGAUCCCACUUGAUAUUUGGUUCUAAAAUUACCUAUUUAAUCUACAGGUUUGGUGUUCAAUGUUAACCAAGCUAUAGCUUUAAGUUUGUUGCUAUCUAAUGCAUUUUCUAGAGCUGGGACGCGGCAUACAGAUACUUAUAGAUUUGUGACAGAUUUCUAGGAAGUCUUCACUCUUUCAG
rnacentral:lncRNA from 1 species